UCACAAUCUUCUUCACUACCGGAUAUUCUCUCACACACUCUCUUCUCAAGGCGAUGAAGAUGAAGAUGGGUCUCUCUCUCUUCUGCAGAGCCUUCAAAUGACAAUGGCGAAGAUCACGCUGUCGAGAAUAAAAUUGCUGAGAAACAAGAGGGAGGUGGUUGUGAGGAAAAUAAGGAGAGACAGACAUUGGUAUGCUUCUUGAAUUCCGUCCAGAUGCCAUUUCUCGUAAUCAGGUACUUAUUCGUCUGACUUAGGGUUGGGGGCUUAGUUGAUUGAUUGAUUAAUUGAACCUCAAAAUCAACUCGUACGAAUGGGGAAUUUGAUUUAUGAGUUUAUGGAUCAUUUAGCUUGGUUUACCACCCUAAUUGCAAAUUCUGAAGAUCUAUCUUAAUCUUUUAACUAUUGUUCCUCCAUCUUUGUUCCCCAGCCUUAAAAUUUGUGUAUUUAACCUCUGACUUAGGGAGUGCAGUUUUUGUAGGGAAUCAAGUUAUCAUCAUUUAGAGGUGUUAGAGGUUAAUAAUAGCAACGGUAAACAGAGAUUAAAAAGAAUUUAUAAGAAGUGAUUUAGACAUAAGCUUAGAUAAGAAAAUAUGAAGGCCAACAAGUAUAACAGAAAGUAGAGAUUCAAGCAUUGUUCCAUAUAAAAGGCAAUUGUAUUCUUCAAUGUGUUUCUUACAUCAUCUGCUUUGUAUGAUGAUUUUUAUGACAUAAUAAUUUCUUGCAACCCUGCUUUGAAGACCUGUCUAAAAAAUUCCAUGUGUAGAGUAAGGUUUACGUUUCCCAGAUGCUAUUUGUGAGAUUACAGAUGUUGUUGUUGUAACAUAAUCAAGGCAGAAAAUAACAUCAGUGAAGAAACAUUGGGUCAAGUAACUAGAUAAGGGAUGAAGUGCCACAAUCAAACCUUAAUUUCUAGCACAGCUAAGCGGAGAAAUGCGCAUAUUACAAUACCAUAUUAGACACCAACAACUACCAAUAGUAAUUCUCACGAUCAACGCAAAACAUGAGAUUGUUCUUUUUCAUUUUCCCCUUUGUUUAUGAUUCUUCAACCUAAAUCAACCUAGACAUACAUCUGUAGGACAUAUUUAGAUACUAUGAUUUGGCUAGCUUUUCAGGUAAGUUGAUAUUUUGGGGUUUUUUUAGGUCUCUUUUGCUCUUAAGUGUAUGCAAAAACAAGAAUAAAAAAAGAAAUCCGGCCUUGAAUUACUUUACGAA